GCAAAGCAAACUAACACCGGUAAAAUACGCAAGAUGGGGAAGAAUGUACUUCGAAAUUUGAAACUGACAGAGAGUAAAGUAAUUGAUUAUGGGCUUUCAGAUUUAAUAAAUAUAAAGUAAUGGACGUAGCUAUUUUGUCGAAGGGACGGAAGAUAACCAUAACGUCAUGAUUUAUCAAAACCUUUGGAAACAAUGGUCCAGCUGCGGUAAAAUUAUAUUCAGAAAGUCCAAGUCACUACAGCAGAGUCAUUUUAUCUCACAGGCGACAGGAAUGGGACGGUUUAAAGUUUACGUCACUCAUCCGAACGUGCCACAGUCUGCAAUUCAGUUGUUACAGGAAAGUUGUGAUGUCACUGUUUGGCAACAAGAAUGCCCUGUGAAAAGAGCAGAACUCAUGACGCAAAUCAAAGGAAAGGAUGCACUAUUUUGUUUGUUGACGGAUAAAAUUGACAAGGACGUGUUAGAUAGUGCAGGGCCAGACUUAAAAGUUAUCGGUACAAUGUCUGUAGGGUACGAUCAUAUUGAUGUACAUGAAGUCAAGAAGCGUGGCAUCAAAAUUGGGUAUACUCCAGAUGUUCUCACUGAUGCAGUGGCUGAUCUUACUGUUGCCUUACUACUUGCAACUUCCAGACGACUCUUUGAGAGCCACAAUGAAAUACUGAAGGGCCAGUGGGGACCUUGGUCACCAUUGUGGAUGUGUGGACCAGCACUAAAGGGUUCUACCAUAGGCAUGGUUGGAUAUGGGCGUAUUGGGCGUGCUACUGCUCGACGUUUAGUGGCGUUUGGUGUCGGUCGCACACACUACUGGGGCCGAUCUGACCAUGGAGAUCCUGACAAUAUUGGUGCAAAAUUCUGCCCGGAGCUAACAAAUCUUCUGGCUGAAAGUGACUUUGUGGUUGUCACAUGUGCCCUAACUACAGAUACUCAUGAAAUGUUUGAUGAGAAAGCUUUUGCAGUCAUGAAACCUUCUGCAGUCUUUAUCAAUACAAGUCGUGGUGGUGUGGUGAAGCAAGAUGCACUUAUCAAAGCACUGGAGACCAAACAAAUCUGGGCUGCCGGUCUUGAUGUUACUACCCCAGAGCCAUUGUCUCCAGACCAUCCUUUGCUGAGUCUCAGGAACUGUGUUGUGAUUCCUCACAUUGGUAGUGCAACAACACAAGCAAGGACAGAAAUGGCAAUGCUCACUGCUCGAAAUAUUUUAGCUGCCUUGAAUGGAGAGCCUCUCCCGGCUGAAAUAAAGUAGAGAUGCAAAUCGAAGGAACAAUGUCUACAGUAAUCUCCCACAGAAUGUUGAAUAUCUGUAGCAUGGUUACAAAGAUUCCAUUUAGCAAAAAUUUCAGGAGAGGUUUUAUUUUUCUGAAAAGUGCAGACAAGUUGAGCAUACAUUCAUUGAUGGACACUUAGAGCUUACAUUGUAUAGAAUCACAGAUAAGUGUCAAAACAAUGGAAUCUUUAAGUCACCAAAAACUGGUACUUGAUAAAUAUGCCAUGUUUUAGAUAUAGAGAAGCUUGAUUCAAGAUACAUAUGAGUAGUUCUUGCUCUACUGUAGUGUAAUUCUGUGUCUUUAAUCUGUUUGACAAAAUGUGUUACUGAACUGAUUUUCUUUUGAUAAAUGCCAACCUUCCUCUAA